AGGUUAGUUUUAGCCUUAACAAUGUGGUAUGCAAGCUGAAACUGAAAAACUACAAGCAGGCUGAGACGAUGUGCACACCUAAGGCACGUUCAAUAAAUAUAAUCAGAACACUGUAUGGUAGUAUUGUCAUGAUUCGUGGGUUUUUAAAGAAUACAAACACUCACUUCAAGAUUCAUUGUGGGUUUCUUGGUUGAUAAUUGUUGGGGUUUAU
rnacentral:lncRNA from 1 species